rnacentral:rRNA from 1 species
UACGUAGGGGGCAAGCGUUGUCCGGAGUUACUGGGCGUAAAGCGCACGCAGGCGGUGUGCCGCGUGUGGGGUGACAGUUCCUCGCUUAACGAGGGAAGCGCCUUGCAAACGGGUACACUUGAGGGCCACAGAGGGACAUGGAACUCCAGGUGUAGUGGUGAAAUGCGUAGAUAUCUGGAAGAACACCAAAGGCGAAGGCAGUGUCCUGGGUGGUACCUGACGCUCAGGUGCGAAAGCCAGGGGAG